rnacentral:rRNA from 1 species
GACGAACGCUGGUGGCGUGCUUAACACAUGCAAGUCGAACGGAAAGGCCCUGCUUUUGUGGGGUGCUCGAGUGGCGAACGGGUGAGUAACACGUGAGUAACCUGCCCUUGACUUUGGGAUAACUUCAGGAAACUGGGGCUAAUACCGGAUAGGAGCUCCUGCUGCAUGGUGGGGGUUGGAAAGUUUCGGCGGUUGGGGAUGGACUCGCGGCUUAUCAGCUUGUUGGUGGGGUAGUGGCUUACCAAGGCUUUGACGGGUAGCCGGCCUGAGAGGGUGACCGGCCACAUUGGGACUGAGAUACGGCCCAGACUCCUACGGGAGGCAGCAGUGGGGAAUAUUGCACAAUGGGCGGAAGCCUGAUGAAGCAACGCCGCGUGCGGGAUGACGGCCUUCGGGUUGUAAACCGCUUUCGCCUGUGACGAAGCGUGAGUGACGGUAAUGGGUAAAGAAGCACCGGCUAACUACGUG